rnacentral:rRNA from 1 species
GAUGAACGCUGGCGGCGUGCCUAAUACAUGCAAGUAGAACGCUGAAGCUUGGUGCUUGCACCGAGCGGAUGAGUUGCGAACGGGUGAGUAACGCGUAGGUAACCUGCCUGGUAGCGGGGGAUAACUAUUGGAAACGAUAGCUAAUACCGCAUGACAACAGUUAUUGCAUGAUACCUGUUUAAAAGGGGCAAUUGCUCCACUACCAGAUGGACCUGCGUUGUAUUAGCUAGUUGGUGAGGUAACGGCUCACCAAGGCGACGAUACAUAGCCGACCUGAGAGGGUGAUCGGCCACACUGGGACUGAGACACGGCCCAGACUCCUACGGGAGGCAGCAGUAGGGAAUCUUCGGCAAUGGACGGAAGUCUGACCGAGCAACGCCGCGUGAGUGAAGAAGGUUUUCGGAUCGUAAAGCUCUGUUGUAAGAGAAGAACGAGUGUGAGAGUGGAAAGUUCACACUGUGACGGUAUCUUACCAGAAAGGGACGGCUAACUACGUG